rnacentral:rRNA from 1 species
CCACACGUGGGACUGAGACACGGCCCAGACUCCUACGGGAGGCAGCAGUGGGGAAUUUUGGACAAUGGGCGCAAGCCUGAUCCAGCAAUGCCGCGUGAGUGAAGAAGGCCUUCGGGUUGUAAAGCUCUUUCAGUUGAGAAGAAAAGAUUGUGACUAAUAAUUGCAAUUCAUGACGGUAUCAACAGAAGAAGCACCGGCUAACUACGUGCCAGCAGCCGCGGUAAUACGUAGGGUGCGAGCGUUAAUCGGAAUUACUGGGCGUAAAGGGUGCGCAGGCGGUUCUGUAAGUCAGAUGUGAAAUCCCCGGGCUUAACCUGGGGAACUGCGUUUGAAACUACAGAGCUAGAGUGUGGCAGAGGGGGGUGGAAUUCCAUGUGUAGCAGUGAAAUGCGUAGAGAUAUGGAAGAACAUCGAUGGCGAAGGCA